rnacentral:ncRNA from 1 species
CCAAGGAGUCUAGCACGUGCGCGAGUCAGGGGCCGUGCCCGAAAGCCCGCGGCGCAAUGAAGGUGAGGGCCGGCGCGCGCCGGCUGAGGUGGGAUCCCGGGGCGCGUGGAGCACUAAGCCCUGGGCGCACCACCAGCCCGUCUCGCCCGCGCCGCCCGGUCGGGGAGGUGGAGCGUGAGUGUCCAUGCUAGGACCCGAAAGAUGAUGAACUAUACCUGGGCAGGGCAAAGCCAGAGGAAACUCUGGUGGAGGUCCACAGUGGUCCUGACGUGCGAAUGGGUCGUCCGACCCGGGUCUAGGGGCGAAAGACUAAUCGAACCAUCUAGUAGCUGGUUCCCUCCGAAGUAUCCCUCAGGAUAGCUGUCACUCUGUGACUCGCACAGGAGCUUGCCGCUUAAUAACUACUAUAGCUAUAGCAUGCUUAAUACAAAACUGUGGUGGGUUGACCUUGG